rnacentral:rRNA from 15 species
ACUUUUUCGCUAAAUAGAUAAAUUUGUUUAAGAUUAGGUAGUUGGUUAAGAAAAAGCUAACCAAGCCUUCGAUCUUUAGUUGGUCUUAGAGGAUGAUCAGCCACACUGGAACUGAAACAAGGUCCAGGCCUAUUUUGGCCAGCAGUGAGGAAUAUUGGACAAUGAACGAAAGUUUGAUCCAGCAAUACUACAUGAAUGAUGACGGCU